rnacentral:lncRNA from 1 species
CUUCCCUCUCAGAUCUAUAUGAAUUUCCUCCUCAACAAUUAAUCCUUCCUCUCAGAUCUUAAACCAAACCCCUUCCCUUCAUUCACUAUGCCUAGAUCUACAUAGAUCUGGGAACAUCAGCCAGAAAUACUUACCGGAGAACAUUAGGAUGUUACAAUUUUGGUAUCAGAGUAGCUAGAAUCCUCGGAUCUGAGGGCAUGGAUGCCAC